rnacentral:lncRNA from 1 species
CCAAAUUUAAAGACCUGCCAAGGACCAGAUGAUUUAUUUAAUUUUUAAUGCCUUGAUAAAGAAAACCAUGGAAUUCAAUAGGAUGUCCUUUGUUUUUCACGACUGUGUAUAGGCCUACAUACAGACAAAUAAGGAACUAAAACAUGACAACUCAUCACAAACAACUGAUCAGUUUCACUCACUCAAUAUAGGAUACAAGACCUUCUCUCAGUCAUUGAAAAACAGAACAAACACAUUUCUAGUGGUUGACCAAAUUUUAUUUUUUUUCCAAACUUAUAUUCCGCUGAGUAUGUGUAUAUUUCCUUCUGUCAUGAGAGAGCUGCUGUUGCAAAGCUGUUGAUUUAUUGAUGGUAAGGUGCUGAAAACAACCUGCCAAUCAAAGUACAAAGCCACGCCUCCUUAGAUCUGAUGGGCGGGAACCAUUGUGUGUCUAUAAACUCUCAAAUCCUCAUUCUGAAGCUCAGAUCACACAGCAACAGCAGAGAUGUCAGAUCUGCAGCGCAUGUUUCCUCUCUUCAGCUCAUCACAAGUCUCAGAUGAUCCAGACGGACCUGCAGCAUGUUCUGAAGAACACACAACAUCAGUGACCCCCAGAUACCAGCAGCUGAAGACCUGAUCAUCAUCAUCAUCAUCAUCACAGACUCCAUCACUCCAGGCUACAGUCUGUUCAGAUCCUGGACUUCUUCAGAUUUUACAGACUCAUCCAAAACACAAACUAACAGACUGAUGAACGGUUUCUUUCUCAGAUCUGUGUCUCAAUACUGCACAGCUGCUGCACUUUACUGACAACAUUCUGCACAUCACAGUUUCCCUGAAUUUCAUAGUAAAUACAUGCACAAGGAUUCAAUAUAUGUAGCCUAUAAUAUUUGUCUAAAGACAUAGAGACACCCUGGACAGACGGCUGGUCCAUCACAAAGCAACACGCAUUCAUUCAAACAAACAUCUCAGUGUCUUCAGUUUGAAAAAAGAAAAAAUGAGAAGAAAUGUAUUUCGUGUUAAACAGGUUGUGCUUGAAAUAAAGCUGCUCUUAAUGUUUUUUUUUUUGAUGACUGCAGUAUGUAUAUAUAUAUAUAUUUUUUUUUUUUUAUAGGCCAAUAAUUCAUUGUACAAUAGAUGUGUUUUAAAAGACCUUUUUUUAAAAACAUUUUCAA